GCCGGCCUAGCUACUGUAAGAGCCGUCUCUUAGUAAGUUUUUCAUGGCACCCCACCCCGCGCGGCACUGGCGAGCCCUCCCGGCCCUGUCCUGCCCCAGCCGCGGCCAGCCCGAUACUGGCGCGUCCAAGCCGCGCCCCGUCUCACCCCGGCCGGCCGCCGGCCACCGGAUCCGGGCCGUCCCUCUCCCUCCGACCCAGCGGCCCGCUUGUCCCCGACGGACGACGGCGCCGCCCCCAGCCAUCCCCAACCCUCGGUACAUAAUACUCCCCUCGGUCCCUAACCACCCGUCAGAAGUGCUAACUCUUUCCCUACGUUCACCAUAUACCGAAGGGAAAGGGCCAGACACCCGCUCGAGCUUCUCUUCUCCUGUCCUCCGCCUAGAUCUGGCUCUUUACCUUCCAAAUCCACCUGCACUAGGACCUCGGGGCGACGCGGGUGGAGCAAUUCAGGGCCGCGACAGUGGAACGGCUUGGGCCUCUAGGCUGUGCGGGUGGAGCGGCGCUGUGGCAGGCGCCGCUGCGACGGACGGAGCAGCCAUGGCUGCUGGCUCCAUGGCGAGAUUGGCAGCGCGAAUCUGUAGAGGUGUCGAGGACCUGGUGGGUGGCGGCGUGGAUGGGGCGUAGGUGCCACCGUACAUGCAGCGUCCAUGUGUACAGGCACUUGUUCUUAAUACCUUAUAAAUAGAUCUGGUAGUUUUUUUUUAAUUGUGCCUUUGCAAAUCUGGAAUUUCAUAUUAUUGCAGUUCUCGAAUUGUUUUUUUUGUAUUGCUUUCAUUCAGUUACUUGUUGUCAGACACACCAAUAGGCAAUAUCUAUGAAAUCUGAUGUAAGAACGAUUUGUUACUCUACUACAGAAAUAUUUAUUUGAAGUGAAAGUAGGGGUAGAGAUUUAGUGGGCAUGGUACUUCUACAAAUUCUAUUGCAUGUAUAUAGGCUGCAGAUGUAUCUUGGAACAGUCUUGUUUCUCUGAACAGCUAUUCUUGCUCAAUAAUGAACAUUAUGAAGGAUUUUAUUCUGUAGAAUUUACGAGACAUCAAUGGUAGUGAAAUAUUUUUUUUUAAUGUUCAUAUCAUAUCCUGAAGUGUUGAGAUAACUGUUUUAGCAAGAUAUCUUAUUGAUUGCUUGCCACUGCUAGCUAGCUAUCUUGUUAGUUAUGCAGACUUAGAAUUAGAUUGCUAGUUAACCAUGUUGAUUCAUGCUCUAUGUUUCCUGUUGCUCAUAGUUAACCUGCUUGUUUAUUAGGAUUUUGUGUCAAGUUGAUGUCAUUCUAGUGCACACUAAAACAUUAGAUUGCUAGUCUAUCAAUUUUUUUGGUUCUGUUGCAAGCAAACUAUGUUCUGAUUGCUGUAGAGAUAUAUAUCAUAUUGUUGCCAUUAAUCAGUUUAGAGUAAAGGACUGCAACAUUGACAGUAAUGUGUAGUUGUCAGCAAUUUUGGGUUGUCAGAUAGGUGCUUCUAGCUGCUCGGGGAAGAGGUGAUCCCACAAAUAUCUGCUUGGUCAGAACUAAUAGCUAGUUUGUAGCUCUAUACAAUGCAGUCAGAUUAUUAUGUACUAAUGACAAUGUUUACUUGGACACCAUACUAUAAUUGGGUAUAUUCUAAUAUAUAGAACAAACAUUAAGUAAUCCUUGUUAUAUUAAUAAUAAUACAGUUCAGUUGUUAAUAUAAUUGCUACUGUCCCUACAAUUGGCCUAGUUUCCUCCUGUUUGGUUGAUGGUAAGGUUGACGGCCUCUUUGUCUUGAUGAAGGAUGAUCUGAGGCAGCUGAUACGCUGAUAUGCAGCCUGAGUACACGAUCUCCAACUGAUAAGAAUCGAAGUAUUUCAGUGAUUGGGUGACAAAUGGUGAUCGGAUCGAGCAAGUAUUACUUUGUUCCCUCUGUAAAAGAAAAGAAAUCCUCCCUACAAAUACUUUGCUAGUUGCUAAUGAUUCUCCAGUUGCCUUUAUAAACUGAAGUUCACAAAUAUAGCUGUGAAAUUAAUCAUGUACUUUGUGCUGUUAUUUACCAUUUUGCCUUUUUUCCCUUAACUGUUUACGCUCAGGCACACUCGUGGACAAGUGGAUGGGGUGCUCUUGCCUUGGAGCCAUUGGAAAAAGACAGAACAGCUAGGAUGUGCCUCCUUCACGCCAAACUACACACUGUCGUAAAGUGACAAGCUCGCUCUUGCUAGCAUGCAGCAUGGAGCAUUAUCUGUUGUUGGGUCCAUGCAUCUCCUUUUUGGUUUCAGUUUGUCAAAGUGAUUGUGUACAGUAAACAAUCUAGUAUACUUUGAUAUGCCGCCAUGUAUGUACUACGUGUUUAUGACUUGGUGCAAAUGUACAAGACAUCUAUAUGCAUGUCAUAUGGAGAUCCAUGUAUUUGGGUACUAAAUUUGUGAAAGUGAAUGUGAUAUGAUGGAUCUUCAAUUCAAAAACUCAGAUUAUAAUGUAUUGAUUCUGCUAAAUUGGAUGUGUUGUAGUUAUGUUUUAUGGCUUGGUGCAAAUUAAAUGUGCAAGA